UACGUAGGGUGCAAGCGUUGUCCGGAAUUAUUGGGCGUAAAGAGCUUGUAGGCGGUUUGUCGCGUCUGCUGUGAAAUUUCGGGGCUCAACCCCGAACUUGCAGUGGGUACGGGCAGACUAGAGUGUGGUAGGGGAGACUGGAAUUCCUGGUGUAGUGGUGAAAUACGUAGAGAUUGGGAAGAACACCAGUGGCGAAGGCGGCUAUCUGGACGGUUACUGACGCUGAGACGCGAAAGCGUGGGGAGCGAACAGG
rnacentral:rRNA from 1 species